GGUCAGUGAUGUAAAACAUGGCAUGUAUUAUCUGAGUUCAAGCUGAAGAUUUAGUCCUUUAGCUCUAGAAUUACACUGAGACCUG